GGUGUGAAAAUGAAUUAUGUGCUGGUGUCAAACCCAAGCAUUCGGAUCAUACUAAAACCCAUUUGUGUUCGGAGCAUGACAUAGCGAGCGCUCGGCACUGGACAUCAUGGCAGCCGCGCGCUAGGAACCCUGGUCCUUUUUGUGACUGUUCUCUCUUCAACCCACAGCUGGCUCAUCAGAAGCGUCCACGAUACAAAGAAUUGUUUCUGCAAGGCUGUCAACAACCACAACUACGGACAAGUCUUUAAAGACUUUGGCUCCAUCCAACACUGCCGGCGUCUUGUCCACUGUCCGUUUUGAAAUCACACAGACCACUUAUACUUCCGAGGUGUUGUAAAUGGUUUGAAUUUGUUUCUGCAAGGCUGUCAACAACCACAACUACGGACAAGUCUUUAAAGACUUUGGCUCCAUCCAACACUGCCGGCGUCUUGUCCACUGUCCGUUUUGAAAUCACACAGACCACUUAUACUUCCGAGGUGUUGUAAAUGGUUUGAAUUUGUUUCUGCAAGGCUGUCAACAACCACAACUACGGACAAGUCUUUAAAGACUUUGGCUCCAUCCAACACUGCCGGCGUCUUGUCCACUGUCCGUUUUGAAAUCACACAGACCACUUAUACUUCCGAGGUGUUGUAAAUGGUUUGAAUUUGUUUCUGCAAGGCUGUCAACAACCACAACUACGGACAAGUCUUUAAAGACUUUGGCUCCAUCCAACACUGCCGGCGUCUUGUCCACUGUCCGUGCAGAGCCCGGGAACUCAUCACAUGUGGUACGGAGUGUGACCGGAAGGUCAAGGAGUGGGCGUGUGACCACGGGUGUGGUGGACUUCCGGCCGGUACAAAGGUCCGGGCAUCCUACAAAGCCAGCGUGUGUAACACCGGCACUGCAUCAGACGUCUACGUAUGUGGCCAACAAAACAACUGUCAUCGUGGCUGACUGAACUAGAUGAUAAUGCGUCCGUUGUCGCAAAAUACGGCUGAUGACGUCUAAAAACUAAGAAAUAAAAUC